GAUGAAGAACGUAGCGAAAUGCGAUACUUGGUGUGAAUUGCAGAAUCCCGUGAACCAUCGAGUCUUUGAACGCAAGUUGCGCCCGAAGCCACUAGGCCGAGGGCACGCCUGCCUGGGUGUCACACGCCGUUGCCCCCCCAUCUACUCCUUCGGGAUUGCGGGGGGGCGGAUGAUGGCCUCCCGUGCGCCUAGCCGCGCGGUUGGCAUAAAUACCAAGUCCUCGGCGACGCACGCCACGACAAUCGGUGGUUGCGAAACCUCGGUUGCCCGUCGUGUGCGUUCGUCGCGCAUCGGGGGCUCGAAAAAAUGCUCGGCUCCGGCUGGGCUUUCAACGCGACCCCAGGUCAGGCGGGGUUACCCGCUGAAUUUAAGCAUAUCAAUAAGCGGAGGA
rnacentral:misc_RNA from 1 species